UACGUAGGGUGCGAGCGUUAAUCGGAAUUACUGGGCGUAAAGCGCGCGUAGGCGGCUUUGCAAGUCGAGUGUGAAAUCCCCAGGCUUAACCUGGGAACUGCAUUCGAGACUGCAUAGCUAGAGUAUGGGAGAGGGAAGUGGAAUUUCAGGUGUAGCGGUGAAAUGCGUAGAGAUGUGGAGGAACACCGAUGGCGAAGGCAGCCCCCUGGGUCAAGAUUGACGCUCAUGCACGAAAGCGUGGGGAGCAAACGAGG
rnacentral:rRNA from 1 species